UGUCUUAAGCAUGCAAGUCGAACGGCAGCAGGCCAUGUAGCAAUAUAUGGUGCUGGCGAGUGGCGAACUGGUGAGUAACACGUAAGAAUCUGCCCUAAGGUGGGGGAUAACUCAUGGAAACAUGAGCUAAUACCGCAUAAUGCGAAGCUUAUAGAGAUAUAAGUUUUGUUAAAGGAGAAAUCCGCCAUAGGAUGAGCUUGCGUCCCAUUAGCUAGUUGGCGGGGUAAAUGCCCACCAAGGCUAUGAUGGGUAGCUGGCCUGAGAGGGUGGUCAGCCACACUGGGACUGAGAUACGGCCCAGACUCCUACGGGAGGCAGCAGUCGAGAAUAGUCUACAAUGGUCGGAAGACUGAUAGUGCGACGCCGCGUGAACGAUGAAUCCCUUCGGGGUGUAAAGUUCUUUUAUACGUGAGCAGUGUCCUUUAUAUUAAUAGUAUAAGGGGAGAGAUAUUAGCGUAUGAAUAAGCAACGGCUAACUCCGUG
rnacentral:rRNA from 1 species